GGAAGUAAAAGUCGUAACAAGGUAUCCGUAGGUGAACCUGCGGAUGGAUCAUUACCAAUUUUAUAUUAUUAGUGUUGUAUCCGCGACUUUAUGUCGUGGGUCACAACUACUACUAUUGUAAACGUUGAACUAGAUCAUUGGUUGUGGAUUGCUUGGGAAUGGACGAAGCGACAAGCCUCUUCCGGACAGGCAAACCCCACACCGAUAACCUUUUCAUAUAUACUAUAACUAGUACAUACUACAAACAAACAAACAAAAACAAAAGCUAUAAUAGGAUUUAACUAUAAGUUGAGUGGGUAAAAGCCUCGACUUUAAAACAAAUAACUAUUACAACUUUCAGCAAUGGAUCUCUAGGCUCUCGCAUCGAUGAAGAACGCAGCGAAUUGCGAAACGUAAUGUGACUUGCAACCCUCGUGAAUCAUCGAAUCUUUGAACGCAUCUUGCACUAUUCGGCUUCCCCGGAUAGUAUGCCUGGUUGAGUGUCUGUGUAUCUCUCCUAAUCUAAUGUUUUUGUGAUAUUAGAAUAGGGACUUGGGGUCUUAAUCGUCGGAAUAUACUUUCAUUAGUAUAACCCGGUGAACCCUUUAAAUAUAGUAAGCUCCCAUCUUUUUUGGAAAUACGCAAACUUGGGGAUGGCGUCGUAGCAAUCACUUUUAGUAUUGUCGAAACGCCUACUACCACUCCUAAUCUGCGGUGCUAAUCCAUUCGAGUUUAUGGGCGAAGCUUGACGACUGGCAAAGUGCCAUGCUCCACUUCAAUUCGGAGUACACGAACAAUAAUGACCUCAACUCAGGUAGGACAACCCGCUGGACUUAAGCAUAUCAAUAAGCGGAGGA
rnacentral:rRNA from 1 species